GCUGGACACAACUGAGCGACUGAACUGAACUGAUUCUGGCUUCCAAGAUGCUUCUGGGUCAUCUUUUACAUUUUCUGCUCUGGACCUAGAAUCAGCCAUUUCUCCAGAAACCCUGGCUGCUUUUGUGGGAAGUACUGACAGAAGACCACAGUCUGAGGACUACUGAUGAUCAUUUCUGCUGGGUUGGUUCUUGCUUCCAGACCUUUUCAGAGAUUCCUGUUUCUUCAGGAUACCAGGAAUGAAUCAGAAUAUCACAUGAUCACUUACUUGUUUUAUUCCACAUCUCUCUCUCUCUUUCAUACACACACACCAGCCUAGGAAUAACAAGACCAAUACUCUCAUCACCUUGAUGGUUCCUGAAAACAGUGAAACAUUUUGCUCAUGCUCUCCCCCAUUGUCUGUUCAUUUCUUUUGGAGAGCUGUAUUAUAUCUACACAGAGCUUACAGCCACCACAUACAAUACCUUCACCUGUAUCAACUGUCACUUGGAUUUAAUUCUACAAGUAAACCUAUACUUAAUGCUCACCACUAGUCCUUGUAUUAGGGUCUCUCUGGUUAUUUCGGUUGUUUGAAGCUUAUUUUCUAGCAGAUUUUUCAGGUAGAGCUCAAAAGUCCCUGAAUUACUGCAAGUGGAUAGGUUUCUCCACAGCUUUUACACUCGGAAAUCAAUUUGGCUGGAUGUAAAAAUCCUCGGCUGACUUUCUCCAUCCUUGGAUAUCUUAAAUGUGUAACUCUUUUUCUCUGGCAUAGACUAUUCCUGUUGGAAAGUCUGAUGAUAUUCUGACUUACUCUCCCUUGUAAGUGGCUUCAUCUUUUUUGCUUGAAUUCUCAAAGGACUUUCCUGUCUUUAAAGUCCAAUAGUUUUACUGAAAUAUGCUUCGGUGUUGGUCAUUCUGGGUCAGUUUUCUUAGCUAUGGUGUAUGCUCUUCUAAUAUGCUGCUUCAAAUCUUUAUUUACUCUUUUUUAAGACCAUGAAAAAUGUAAAUAUAAACUGUUCUCAAAUAUCCAGGGAUCAGUGCCUCAGCACUUAUGGAAACUACACUUUUUCCUUCCUAUGCUUUCCAUAUCCAAACAUCAAGUCAUUUGCCAAGAAUGAAUAUAAAUAGGGUCAUUUAUGAAAACCAGCACCCCCAAAUAUCUACAAACAUGAAAGUAUUGUUAUUAAAAAACAACCCUGCUUCAGGUUAAAAAUAUUUGUCAGGCUAAAAAGUAACAUAUUUAUGAUACCUUAUUUCUUAAAAAAACUAUAAUAAUAUACUUUUUUGCUGGCUAUUCAUAUUUAGUCUUUUUGUAACCAAUCUGAUAAGUAAAAAAGCAGUACUUCACUAUUAUUUAACAUUUAUCUGAGUGAAUUUAAAGGCAUUUUUACUAGACUGUCAGUACCUGGACUUGCUUUCCUGAGAAUGUUAUCGUCCUAUCCUUUGUAUAUUUUAAAAUUUCUUUUCAGAAAUUUUAAGUAUUCUACUGACUUUGUUUACAGUUUCUUUGGUCAUACAAAUCUAUUUUUUUUUACUGCAAAAUCAUUUGUCUUUUUUUUUUAAGUGCCUUUGCAUUACCAGUCAUGGUUCAGAAGGAAUUCCUAGAUUGUACAUGAAGUCUCCUGUUUUCUUGAAGAAUUUUCAUGUGAUAAUUUAAAAUUUUAGGUUGUUUAAUCUUAGAAUUUAAUUUUUGUACAUGAUGUAAGUUUUACUUUCUUCCAGGUGGAUAUUCAGUUAUGUCCAAUACCAUUCAUUAAAUAAUCCAUCUUCUCCCCUCUGAGUUUAAAUAUGUUAUCUUUUAUGCUAGGACAUGGCUUUGAAUGAUCCUCUGCCACUGAUGGAGCUAUCCAUUUUUAUUCAAAUUUUGUAAUGUUUGAUAACAGGCAGCAUUAUAAUAUGUUCUAAUAUCAAGUGGUGGAAGUUUCCUAUUGUGUGUAUGUGUUCAGUCACUCACUUGUGCCCAACUCUUUGUAUUCCUGUGGACUGUAGCCUGC